GAGAGUGUGCGUCAUGACGUCAUGGCUCAGAGUACUUAUAUACAGGCGCCUGGCCGCCAUCUCGGUCUUUCGUGGCUGCGAGCUGGCUGUUCCUGUGAGUUGUUCUUUGCUGCUAAGAACCGCGGCAGGCAUGACUCCAAUGUGGAUUUUGAUGGCUUCUGUUGGGCAGUUGUGUACCAGAAGGAUGACAACUACUGCUGGGGUGUUAAAGCGCAAGCUUGGUGCUGUGUCUAUGAGCAGACAGCCAUUAAGCAGUCUUGACUGGAAGUUGAAGAGGUGAACUUGAAUCCUUGACCUGUCCAAAGCAGUUGGUCUGACUUUUUGAUGAUGGCUACAUGUUUUGUUACGUGGCUGACUUCUUUGGGGUAAGACACGAAAACAGUGACUGCUGGCAUUUGGGCUUAUAGUGUUUCUGAAAUGUGCUGGUCCAAGUAGUUGACCUUUGAUAGUGUUUUCUGAUGUUGGACAGAUCAAUCUUAUCUAAUUACUAAGCAAGGUACUGUUAGUGAUGAUUUUUAUAAUAAAACAGAUGGGAAUCUCUCUGAAAAAGCAUGAAGUUUUAAAAAACUGAAACAGUAUCUUGAAUCAGUAUCAAUAGUAUUUUGAAAUCUAUUACUACUUACUAAAAGUAACUUAAUUUCUGCAGGUGUGAAGAGAGGUAGUGACUACAAUGCAAGGAAUCAGGAGUUCUAACCAAAGGCAGAUGUUUUGUCCUGAAGAUUUCAAGGGCAUUUAUGAUACGAGUCAGACAUAACAGUCAGCCAGAUGGAUGCACAUGGGAUAGAAGAGCAAACAACUGUUAAUUGGCUGCUGCCCUGCAAAGCUGUUUGGAUCCUAGCUUCCUGACAAGGGAUCAAACCUGUGACUGCUACAGUGGAAGCUCAGCCCUAACCAUUGGACUACCAGGAAAUUCUCCAGCUUUCUAUUUUAAUAAAUGUUUAUAAA